AGGUUUCCACUAUGGAUGCUAGGAAAAAGUGUCCUCAUAUUUUCUGUCUGCCUGAUUGUGGCAGUCAAGACUGAAUAGAGUAAUCGAAGA
ensembl:snoRNA